rnacentral:siRNA from 1 species
UAUGCCAUUUGCGUCAACUGCAUA